UACGUAGGGUGCGAGCGUUAAUCGGAAUUACUGGGCGUAAAGCGUGCGCAGGCGGUUCGUUGUGUCGGUGGUGAAAUCCCCGGGCUUAACCUGGGAAUGGCCAUGGAAACUGGCGAACUGGAGUGCGGCAGAGGGGGGUGGAAUUCCGCGUGUAGCAGUGAAAUGCGUAGAGAUGCGGAGGAACACCGAUGGCGAAGGCAGCCCCCUGGGCUAGCACUGACGCUCAGGCAUGAAAGCGUGGGGAGCAAACAGG
rnacentral:rRNA from 1 species